CAUGUUUUCUAAAGUUAUCAUGUUGUAGUAAAACGUCCAUAUCUCCCAAUUCCAACGUCGGAUCGGACUCCUCUUUGGUUAUGUUGUUCCUAAGAGGUUUAUCUAGCAAUUUGACCGUUCGGAUCGUCGUUUGGACUUUUUUAGGUCAACCGGACUUGUGAAGCGGACAUGCUGGGUAGAACCGACUCUAUAACCGGACUUGUUGGGUAGAACCGGCCGUAGGUCCGGUUCUCUUUGUUUUUGCAUAUUUAAGCCCGUUUCUGCGACCUAAUCAGCCCCCAUUCAUUCUUUAAAACCCUAAACUCAUUUCUAACUCUUUUCCAACCGUUCCCACCCCAUUUUUUUUUGCCUUAGACAAUUGAUAAGUGUUUUAAUCCUUUUAAUUCAACUUUAAUCUAUGGUUUUUCAUUCAAAUUGAAUUUUGGCUCAUGUCUUCGUUCAAUCUCAUUCUUGUAGCGUUGGAAUCAUCUCAUUUAUGAUAUUUCUUAUGUAAUACCCCAAAUAUUUUAAGAUAAUUAAGUCGUGCCACGUGUCGUGAAUUCCGAUAAAUUAAAUUAAGAAAAAUUUAAUUUAAUUAUAUCGGGAAUUUAGAAUAAUUUUUAUUAAGCGGAUUAGCGGAAUUUAAGGAAAUAACUUCGAAAAUUAAUAUAAAAUAAAUUAUAAAUUCCGUAAUGAAAUUUAUUUUGCCAAGAUCCGCGAAAUAUUUUAUAGUAUUUAUGAUAAAUGUUUCGAGUCAAUCGGAGACCGUUUAAAAUUUGGACGCGGAUAGGUUUUGGACUAAAUUGCAACUUUUGAAACGUUUCAAGGACCAAAGUGUAAUUUAACCUUAUAUAUAUAAGAUUUCCUUCAAAGUGAAGGUUCCAGACCUCAAACAUCAGAGUUCAUUUUCAUUCCUUCAACAAUUCCGUCGUUUUUGUCGCACGAUUCCGUUUCUCGUCCGUUUCCGACGUUCUAUAGCUCGAAUCGAUCAUAUUUCAUGGGAAAAUCACGGUACUUUGGAGCAUCGUGGAAGCAUUUUGAUACAAAAGAUGGAAAAGUCGACGGAAAAGAGGCGAAAGCUCAUUUGCAAGUCUGAAAACCGACUCCUCUGCACUAAUUGGCAAAUUGGAACCAGCUAGAAGCCUCAAAUGAAUUUUUGUUCUUCAUGAAAGUUGAAGUAGACGUCCCAAGCUUUCCAACGGUUCAAGAAUCGACUUAAUCAGACAUUUCUACGCAAAGUUAUGAAGUUUUGAAGAUCGGAGCUGAAACCGUAAUGCCAAGCUCGAAUCGAGCUCACCAAGGCCAAGAGGGAGCUCGAUUCGAGCUCACCGCUCUGAGUUCCAGAAAUUCAAGCUCGAAUCGAGCUUGAGGAGCAAAAAAUCAAGCUCGAUUCGAGCUUAGGCUUGUGUAAAGGGGGAAAUUUGAUUUCAAAUGCUUCAAGGCUUGAUUCUCUUUGCUUCUUUGGGCAAAACACUCCUUGAGUGAAUGUUUUUCUUUCCUCUUUUGUAAACAUAUAAAAACUCUUUUAUCUCUAUUUUAGGUUAUGUCGUGAUUUUGUAGAGAAUUGUAAGACAUCUCAUUAUUGUAGCAACACUUUCUCUCUAUCUUUAAAUCAUUGUUCUUAUUGUUCUUACUAAAAGUAGUAAAGGAUCUUCAUAGUUCUUGGUGUUCUUCAAACUAA